rnacentral:rRNA from 1 species
AUUGAACGCUGGCGGCAUGCCUUACACAUGCAAGUCGAACGGCAGCACGGGAGCAAUCCUGGUGGCGAGUGGCGAACGGGUGAGUAAUGUAUCGGAACGUACCUUUCAGUGGGGGAUAACGUAGCGAAAGUUACGCUAAUACCGCAUAUUCUGUGAGCAGGAAAGCAGGGGAUCGCAAGACCUUGCGCUGAUUGAGCGGCCGAUAUCAGAUUAGCUAGUUGGUGAGGUAAAGACUCACCAAGGCGACGAUCUGUAGCGGGUCUGAGAGGAUGAUCCGCCACACUGGAACUGAGACACGGUCCAGACUCCUACGGGAGGCAGCAGUGGGGAAUUUUGGACAAUGGGCGCAAGCCUGAUCCAGCCAUGCCGCGUGAGUGAAGAAGGCC